rnacentral:lncRNA from 1 species
AAUAUACAUUUGUUAGCACAAAUGAAUACUUAUGUUAAUAUAAGUAUUUACUUUCAUUCAAUAUAAACUAUUAUAUUUUCUAAAUCUAAGCCCUGAACACUAAAACCCUGAACCCUAAAGUCUGAAUCCUAAUAGGAAUAUUUACUCUUAAGAAAAAAUAAUUAUUGAUAGGAAGAAUUGUAAUAUUUCAAAAAUAUUAUCUUUCUUCAUAUUGAUAUGAUGAAAUGUAAUGAUUCAAAAAUAUUACUUUUCUCUAUGUCAAUAAUUAUUUUUGGUAUAAUAAUAAUUAUUUUGCAAUAACAUAAAAAUAAAUAAAAUAAAAUAAAAAAACCAGAAAAAGGAAAAAAUUGAACCAGCCACUACAAGAAUUUUGGUCAUAAACAACACAACAUAGAUGACAUAUUUCAAAAACUGUUGUCUAAUAUACCUAUAGACGACGAUUUCCGAAAGCGUGUUGUCUAGUAAAAAAAACAAAAAACAAAAAAAACUGAAAUAGAAACAUAAACAAA